rnacentral:rRNA from 1 species
AGAGUUGUAUCCUGGCUCAGAGCGAACGUUAGCGGGAGGCUUAACACAUGCAAGUCGAGCGAGAAAGUCAACUUCGGUUGGCGAGUAGAGCGGCGGACGGGUGAGUAACACGUGGGUAACCUGCCUAUCAGCGGGGGACAACAAUCCGAAAGGGUUGCUAAUACCGCAUACGCCGGUCACCUCUGCGGAGGAGACCGAGAAAGCUGGGGAUCUUCGGACCUGGCACUGAUAGAGGGGCCCGCGUUGCAUCAGCUUGUUGGUGAGGUAAUGGCUCACCAAGGCGAAGACGCAUAGCUGGUCUGAGAGGAUGAUCAGCCACACUGGGACUGAGACACGGCCCAGACUCCUACGGGAGGCAGCAGUGGGGAAUAUUGGACAAUGGGCGCAAGCCUGAUCCAGCCAUCCCGCGUGAGUGAUGAAGGCCCUCGGGUCGUAAAGCUCUGUGGAGAGGGACGAAAGCCCGUACGUUAAUAGCGUGCGGAGUGACGGUACCUCUUUAGCAAGCACCGGCUAACUCCGUGCCAGCAGCCGCGGUAAUACGGAGGGUGCAAACGUUGCUCGGAAUUAUUGGGCGUAAAGCGCUCGUAGGCGGUUUCGUAAGUCGGAUGUGAAAGCCCUAGGCUUAACCAAGGAAGUGCAUUCGAAACUGUGAGACUUGAGUAUGGGA